GGAUCAAUAUGUUUGUCGUGCCUUGGUACGUACUAGUUUAUUGGUUUCUUCCUUCUGACGAACCAUGAUGUCAUUUAUUUGGUGUUGUGGGGAAUCAGGACUGUUACUUUGAAAAAAUUAGAGUGUUUAAAGCAGGCUCACGCUUGAAUACAUUAGCAUGGAAUAAUGUGAUAGGACGUUUGAUUCUAUUUUGUUGGUUUCUAGGAUCGACGUA
rnacentral:rRNA from 1 species